rnacentral:rRNA from 1 species
AUUGAACGCUGGCGGAAUGCUUUACACAUGCAAGUCGAACGGCAGCACGGGGGCAACCCUGGUGGCGAGUGGCGAACGGGUGAGUAAUGUAGCGGAACGUGCCCAGUCGUGGGGGAUAACGUAGUGAAAAUUACGCUAAUACCGCAUACGAUCUACGGGUGAAAGCGGGGGAUCGCAAGACCUCGCGCGAUUGGAGCGGCCGAUAUCAGAUUAGGUAGUUGGUGGGGUAAAGGCUCACCAAGCCAACGAUCUGUAGCUGGUCUGAGAGGACGACCAGCCACACUGGAACUGAGACACGGUCCAGACUCCUACGGGAGGCAGCAGUGGGGAAUUUUGGACAAUGGGCGAAAGCCUGAUCCAGCCAUUCCGCGUGCAGGAUGAAGGCCUUCGGGUUGUAAACUGCUUUUGUACGGAGCGAAAAGGCUCUCUCUAAUACAGGGGGCUCAUGACGGUACCGUAAGAAUAAGCACCGGCUAACUACGUGCCAGCCGCCGCAGUAAAAC